AUUAUUUCUCUUAUAAGAACUUAAAUUUUAGAGAUAAAGAAAAAAAUAAAAAAAGCAAAGAAAUAGAAUUAGGUUGAUAAUAUCUAUAAAGAAAAAAAACAAGAUGUUGGAAGAGAACGAAAAGGAAGACCUAUUUAAGUAGGUCUGCACUCUGUAGAGAGCUAGAAUCUAUUGGAUGAAAACACUGGCCCUGAUAACUAUAAAAUUAGGAAUCAGCUAAGCUUAGAAUAUUUUAAGAGUAUUCCUAAGGCACAGAACAGUGAAUUCACAGAUUGUGGAGUGUGGAAGACUUUGACGUUUAAGGAAUAGAAUCACAACACUUUGACAAGAAACGGCUUACCAAGUAGAAGAGUGUGCCUGGAAAAUGAUCAGUAUAGCUGCAUUUUGCAAAAUGCAUCUGUGGACAUCACACUAAAACGAUGCAGCAACAAGACAGAAGGAGUCAAAGUAUUAUAUUACAUUUUGGAACAGAGCUUGCUGACAAACCUUAAAAAGGCUAUUACAGGUUAAAUUUAGGCUACUACAUUGGAGUAAAUAAAUUUCAGAAGAAUAAAACUGGACCUCCUAUCUCUCAUCAAAUACAAAAAUCAACUCGAGAUGAAUCAAAUGCUCAAAUAUAAGGCUUUAAACUUUAAAAAUACUAGAAGAACACCUAGAGAAAACUCUUCUCAACAUUGGCCUAGGCAAAUAAUUCAUGACAAAGAUCUCAAAAGCAUAAGCAACAAAACAAAAAAUAGACAAAUGGGAGUUAAUUAAACUAAAAAGCUUCUAAACAGUAAAUAAUAUUAAUCAUCUUCAUCAUCAUCAUCAACAGAGUGAACAGACAACUUGCAGAAUGGGAGAAAAUGUUUGCAAACUGAUGAAUUCAACUGGGGGCUAAUACCUAGAAUUUGCAAGGAAUGCAAACAACUCAUCAAGAACAAUAACAAAAACAAAUAACUCCAGUAAAAAGUGUGCAAGGAACAUGAACAUACUUUUUGCAAAAGAAAACAUGCAAGUGGCAAAAGAAACAUGUGAAAAAAAUGCUCAACAUCAUUAAUCAUCAGAGAAAUGCAAAUUAAAACCACAGUGAAAUAGCAUCUCACACCAGUCAGAAUGGCUAUUACUAAAAAGUUGAAAAAUAAUAGAUAGUGAGGAUGCCGAGAAAAGGGAAUGCUUGUGCACUAUUGGUAGAAAUGUAAAUUAGUAAAACCUCUAUGAAAAACAGUAUGGAGAUUAUUCUAAGGAUUAAAAACAGAACUACCAUUUGAUGUAGCAAUCCCACUACUAAUUAUAUAUACAAAACAAAAUGAAUCAUGAAAAUGAAAAGAUACCUGCACACAUAUGUUUAUCACAGCACUGUCUACAAUAGCCAAGAUAUAGAAUCCACUUAAGUGCCCAUCAACAGAUGAUUGUAUUAAAAAUGUGGUGUGUGUAAAUAUAUAUAAUGGAAUACUAUUCAUAAAACAUAAUGGAAUCAUGUCUUUUCUAGCAGCAUAAAUGGAACUGGAGUCUAGUAUAUUAAGUAAAACCAUGCAGAAAGAGUAAGUCCAAACUCACAUGUACUUAUAAGAUGGAGCUAAAUGAUGUGUACACCUGAUAGUAGAGUAACAGUUACUGGAGACUGGGAAGGGUAGGAAGAUAAAAGAGGGUGAGGGAUGAGAAAUUACUUAAUGGGUAUGAUAUACACUAUUUGGGUGAUAAUUACACUAAAAACCCUAGUUUUCACCACCACACAUUAUAUCUAUGUAAAAAAACUUCACUUUUACCUCUCGCAUUCAUAGAAAUUUUGAGAUUUUGCUCCACCAAUGUGCAACAUUGCCUUGGCAUAUUUUCCAAACCAGAUCAUAUGUCUAGAUUCUAAGAUUUCUUUUCAAAUUAUAUGGAAGGUAGAACUCAUUAAAUUUUGUAAUACAUAGUGUUAGUCAUCUAUACCUUUCCAGUCAACAAUAUAACUUGAUCUCAGUGUAUUCCAUUUUAUUACACAUAAAUGUAAAUUUAUCUACUUCAUUCUUUUAAAAAUCUAUAUAAAUCCCUUUCUGCAGAAGCUUUAUAAUUUAUCAAAACCGCCCUUCAAAAAUAUGACACAAUAACAGUCAUGUGACAAUUCUAAUCUUAAUGUAGUUUACUGGAGCCAAAACAUGAUUUUUUUUUUCUUACAACUAUUUGAUAGUAAGUAGGAUGCCUAUUCUCUUCUUUAUUUCUCAGUUUUUUUGACCCGUGAACAUGUUAGAAAACAUUUUUACUUUUAUCCUUGGACUGCCUCAAAAAGAAACCAACCCAGCAUUCUCACACAAAUCUCAUGUUUACUAAAAGUUGCCAACUGAUAGUGAAUGACUUCCAAACAUAAAUAUUGAGAAAAAAUUCAAUAUGUAAUCUUUCACAAUUAACCUUGAACUUGUAGGUCACUAAUAAAUUAUUUGAAAUACAUGUAUCUCACAUCUACCGAGAGAUUUCUGAGAAUUGACACAUCCUGCAACACUGUAAUAGAAAAUACUGUUUUCCUAGGAUUACCUUUGCCAUUAGGAAGAGUGCUUUAUUUUUUCAGUCAUUUUACACAGAAAAGAGAGAAUUACCAUGUCAUUUCUGUGAAAUAUUGGCAGUGUAUAACUUAGGAUUAGUUCAACUGCAAGUAAAAAGCAGAAAACAAAACAAAUAAUAGCAAUAUGAAAGCAAAAAGAAACAAAGCCAGAACAAAACUACAUAAGAAUAACACGAAUAAAAUAUGGUAUUUUCUUCGGUUGUUUACUCAAAUACCAUCAGAUAGCCUGUUCAGUGGACUGAUCCACAUCUUCACAUUUUUGUUCCCUUGAGUGUUCUGAUUGGUCAUUCUGCUUUUCCGUUUCUUCUUAGCCUAGGUUUUAGGUAUUUCUGAUUUUAUCACUUGUCGCAGCAUCCUAAAACUUGCAUUAAUCUUCUAUAUUUAGAACAUGUGUGUGUUCAUGUCAGAAACAUUUAUAAAACUAUUUGCCUUCACUAUCCAUGCAGGAUUUUGUGCUGUGUUUCUAUGAAUUGAUUCCUCAUAAGUUCAGAGACACUAACCAUAAACGGUCACUGAACAAUGCUCUGAAACACUGCAACAUUUUCCUAUUCCAUUCGUCUCUCUACAGUCGUUUUUAAAAUCAAUUUCAGUCUUGAUAAAACUUGGUAACCCCAAUUUCUUCCUUAUUUUCAGUCGAAGAAAUUGCAUCCUACUACAUAAUCAAAUAAAAAACAUUGGAUUGACAGCCACUUCUGCUUUACGUCCCAAAUACCUGGAACCUGGGUCCAUCAUGGUUUUGUGGGGGUUUUUUGUUGUUGUUGCCGUUGUUUUUAUUUUACUUCUUUUAUGUUGGUGGCAGUGGCUGCUGCCAUCACGCUACAUGGCUGGGGCUCCACACUACAUGGACUCUGUGGAAGCCCCUCCCCUUCUGAGAUGGGAUGGGAGCCACGAACCGCAGCUGCAGACCCAGGCCUCCUGCUCUACCCAGCAGAAGGAAGCCCUAACCUCCUGGGCGGGGCUACAGCCACCCAAACUGCAGCUUUGGAUCUGAGCUUCCUUGUGCUCUUGUGGGGGCCAGGAACAGGCAGGAUCUGCCCUCCCAGGGCAUCUUGCAGCUGCAGACCUGGGCCUCUGACUCACUAGGAGCUGGGGACAAGCGGGAAUCCCGCCCCUUCCGAGUUGGCAGGGCGGGAACUCCUGCGUUCAGCUGCAGCCCUUUAAUCUCAAGAGCAGGGUUGGAGCCAAGCCCUGGGGCCAUGAAUGGCAGCGGGAGGCAAAGUCCUGGGUGGGGAUCCUGGUGCCUCUUCCUGUCCUGCCCAUGGCCACCCGUACACCAAUCAGCAUGCACUUCCUCCCCUCUGAGGUCCAUAAAAGUCCUGGGAUCAGCCAGUGCAGGGCAGAGGAUGGACAGAGGACAAAGAGGGCAAAGAGAUGUCGGUGAGAGGUGACAGCGUGCUGGCAGCCCUCACAGCCCUCGCUUGCUCUCAGCACCUCCUCUGCCUGGGAUCCCACUUUGGCGGCACUUGAGGAGCCCUUCAGCCCGCCGCUGCACUGUGGGAGCCCCUUUCUGGGCUGGCCAAGGCUGAAGCCUGCUCCCUCAGCUUGCAGGGAGAUGUGAAGGGAGAGGCGCCAGCGGCAACCGGGGCUGCGUGGGGCGCUUGCGGGCCAGCUGGAAUUCCGGGUGGGUGUGGGCUUGGCGGGCUCCACACUCGGAGCAGCUGGCUGGCCCUGUCGGCCCUGGGCAAUAAGGAGCUUAGCACCUGGGCCAGCGGCUGCGGAGGGUGUACUGGGUCCCCCAGCAGUGCCGGCCCACCGGCGCAGCGCUCGAUUUCUCGGGGGGCCUUAGCUGCCUUCCCGAGGGGCAGGGCUCGGGACUUGCAGCCCGCCAUGCCUGAGCCUCCCCCCAGCCCCUCCGUGGGCUCCUGUGCAGCCCGAGCCUCCCUGAUGAGCGCCGCCCCCUGCUCCACGGCGCCCAGUCCCGUUGACCACCCAAGGGCUGAGGAGUGUGGGUACACCGCACGGGACUAGCAGGCAGCUCCACCUGCAGCCCCAGUGUGAGAUCCACUGGGUGAGGCCAGCUGGGCUCCUGAGUCUAGUGGGAAC
rnacentral:lncRNA from 1 species